rnacentral:lncRNA from 1 species
GGACCAGGCCUAGUCUAAAUUUGGGCCCAUUUGAGCUAAAAUAUUACACCAAUCUAUCAUUGAUGACAUAGAGAGCAACCAAUUAGCAUCCAAGUACCCCUACAUCAGAUCAAACAAAAUAGAGUAGUUUCCAAGUACAAAUGCUAGCCUCACACAAGAAGAGAACAACCAUAAGGAUGGGUAGCAUAGCUAGCAAAGCAAUGGGA